GCUCCGUUGGUGAACCAGCGGAGGGAUCAUUACAGAGUUGCAAAACUCCCAAACCAUUGUGAACGUUACCUAUCCCGUUGCUUCGGCGGGCGGCCCGGGCCCCGCGCCCGGCGCCCCCCGGCCCCCCGUGGGCGCCCGCCGGAGGUAAACCAAACCCUUGAAUUGCAUGGCCUCUCUGAGUCUUCUGUACUGAAUAAGUCAGAACUUUCAACAACGGAUCUCUUGGUUCUG
rnacentral:misc_RNA from 1 species